rnacentral:rRNA from 1 species
CCUACGGGAGGCUGCAGUGGGGAAUAUUGGACAAUGGGCGAAAGCCUGAUCCAGCCAUGCCGCGUGUGUGAAGAAGGCCUUCGGGUUGUAAAGCACUUUCAGUGGGGAAGAAAGCCUUGGGGCUAAUACCCUCGAGGAAGGACAUCACCCACAGAAGAAGCACCGGCUAACUCCGUGCCAGCAGCCGCGGUAAUACGGAGGGUGCGAGCGUUAAUCGGAAUUACUGGGCGUAAAGCGCGCGUAGGCGGUCUGAUAAGCCGGUUGUGAAAGCCCCGGGCUCAACCUGGGAACGGCAUCCGGAACUGUCAGGCUAGAGUGCAGGAGAGGAAGGUAGAAUUCCCGGUGUAGCGGUGAAAUGCGUAGAGAUCUGGAGGAAUACCAGUGGCGAAGGCGACCUUCUGGACUGACACUGACGCUGAGGUGCGAAAGCGUGGGUAGCAAACAGGAUUAGAUACCCGAGUAGUC